rnacentral:lncRNA from 1 species
UUUAAGUUUGAUUGUCUGAUCUCUCUUAACUCAUUCUUCUUGAACUGUUUUCAUCAAUUUGAAGAGCUAAAUUUAGUUUGCAUUCAAGCAAUUGGAUUGUGUUAGUGUGGUUUUGUUGAUUGUGUUCCAUUGAUAUACUAUUGGUUCUAAAUUGUGAGUUUUAAGUUGGUCCUCUUUAGUCAUUCCUGGGUUCAUUUGUGCUUGCUGAACACUGAUUCUUGCUGCUGCUGAGUCUGCUAAAUCUCACUCCCCUCUUUGUUUUCCUCUUUCCAGGUAUAUCUUGAUCCUAUGGAUAUCAUUUGAGGUGUAAACUUGAGUCAUGAAUUAAGAAUGAGAAAGCUAGUCUACACCCUUUCUUCUUUUAAUAUACUAUCACUGUGUACUUUUGACUUUUCAAUUAGUGUAUUCUGCCCAAAAGGGAGGUUUGUAAUUAAGAGCUAAAUCACAUAGUUUUUUUGUGUAACUACUUUCUUCCUUAUUGUGACUGUUGGACGCUAUAGCUAUUCUAUGAACUCGUUGUUUUAAAGUUUUGUUCAAUCAAGUAUUCUGCUUAAAUCUUAUGGGUUUAGGAAAUGAAUGAAUAUUUUCAUGAUGGUAUGAUUGUUGUAGUGAAGUUAAGUUGUGGUUUAUAGUUUCAUUUCAUUUUCUUGUUAAUUGAUUUAUCAUGCUAUCCAUGGAUCUCCCUCUUUUAAUUUCAUUUGGUCUAAUAUUGCUUGUUUGUUGCAUUGAAGUACCGCAUCCAAGGUGAAAAGAAUGGCUUUUUUUUCUUAUAUAUUUUUAUUUGACUAGUACAUGAGAUUUAAUAUUUUCUAGAAGUGUUUAAAUGUUGAUAGCAUGAAUUUCAGUGGACAAAACCACUUCUCACCAUUGUAAACCGAUAUAUUUUCAUGGCAACCACAAGAAUCUGUUCUCAUGUGAAAAAGGAUUGGCAAAACUAAGAAGAAAGAAA